CAAAAAAUCAAGACACUGCAUGUCAAAUUGCAUUGCCGUCUGCUACUCAUGUUCAAAGCGGUCAUAUAAUUCAUACUCAGGAUUCCAUUGCUUUAGCAUCGACAAUGGCUCAACCCUUGGAUGGUCACCAUGAAACUAUUCUUUUUCAGGCUCCUUUGUCGAUUGAUCCAAUAAAUGAGUUAUCCAUAUUGGUAAGCCAACAAAAAUAUGAAGAUGCUUUCACUACAACCAUACGUAGAGGUGAUAUGUCACUUUUGAGUUGGCUAUGCUAUAAGG